UACGGGGGGGGCAAGCGUUGUUCGGAAUUACUGGGCGUAAAGGGCGCGUAGGCGGCAUGACAAGUCACUUGUGAAAUCUCCGGGCUUAACUCGGAACGGUCAAGUGAUACUGUCGCGCUAGAGUGCGGAAGGGGCAAUCAGAAUUCUUGGUGUAGCGGUGAAAUGCGUAGAUAUCAAGAGGAAUACCUGAGGUGAAGACGGGUUGCUAGGCCGACACUGACGCUGAAGCGCGAAAGCCAGGGGAGCAAACGGG
rnacentral:rRNA from 1 species